CAGUGUUCCCUGCCCUUCGGGGUAGGAUCGCCACCCUUGAUUACUUAUGAGUGUUGCUUUGGCGGGCCUCGCGGCCUGGCCCGCGCCCCGGCUCCGGUGGGGGAGCGCCCGCCAGAGGAUUCUACAAACCCGAUUAUUGGUGUCGUCUGAGUACUAUAUAAUAGUUA
rnacentral:misc_RNA from 1 species